GGCGGCAGGCCUAACACAUGCAAGUCGAACGCUCGUAGCAAUACGGGAGUGGCAGACGGGUGAGUAACGCGUGGGAACAUGCCCUUUGGUUCGGAACAACUCCGGGAAACUGGAGCUAAAACCGGAUAAGCCCUACGGGGGAAAGAUUUAUCGCCGAAGGAUUGGCCCGCGUCUGAUUAGCUAGUUGGUGGGGUAAUGGCCCACCAAGGCGACGAUCAGUAGCUGGUCUGAGAGGAUGAUCAGCCACACUGGGACUGAGACACGGCCCAGACUCCUACGGGAGGCAGCAGUGGGGAAUAUUGGACAAUGGGCGCAAGCCUGAUCCAGCCAUGCCGCGUGAGUGAUGAAGGCCUUAGGGUUGUAAAGCUCUUUCGCGCGCGACGAUAAUGACGGUAGCGUGAGAAGAAGCCCCGGCUAACUUCGUGCCAGCAGCCGCGGUAAUACGAAGGGGGCUAGCGUUGUUCGGAAUCACUGGGCGUAAAGCGCAUGCAGGCGGAAUUGUUAAGUCGGGGGUGAAAUCCCGAGGCUCAACCUCGGAACUGCCUUCGAUACUGGCAAUCUUGA
rnacentral:rRNA from 1 species